GUCCUUUGGAGGAACAGACCAUAGCUUUGUAAGUUUUAAUCUCCUGUGCCCAGCUCAGUGCAUGGCAGAAGGCAAUUGCCUGGUCUGUGGUGGAGGUGCUGGUUAUUUUUGGUGUAGAUGUUACCUUUAUCAUGGUAGGGAUGGGAGGCUCAGCCUGACCAAAACACCGGGCAGGGUACAGGAUGGCUGGGAAGCUGCUGAUAAGGCUCUGCCAGCAUUACAGCCCCAGCCCUGGUGAUCACCGGGAUCCCUGAUCGCCGUCGCACUGGCUGGUUCUGGGGGUCUGGGCGCUGGUCAUGCCGGUCGCGCCGGGUCUGGCCACCGGGUGGCACCCACGCUCCACAAAUGCUGCCAACGCGCUGGGCUCGGUCUCCGCUAGGCUCUGCUUGGGAACCAGGGGAGGCAGGGGCUGCAGGAGGGCCAGCGCUGCCCUAGUCCCAGCCCCUGGCUCUCUGAGCCAUGAGUUGACAUUCGUCCCCACUAGGCCUUCUUCCUCAAGCCUUUGUGUUUAUUCUGUUCCCUGCAGACCGAGUGAUGCCCCUUCUCCCAGGCGGCCUGUCUGCCCAUCAGGAGGCCCAGCGCGGCCAGACAGUGAGCCACGAGCACCCUCAGCCCUGGAGCCCGCCCAGUGGUGUUUACAGGAGGCCGGGUCUGGGAACACCUGUUGUCCAGGCAGCCUCCUGCUGUCCUGCCUCCCUACACCCAGCUCACCAUCAGAAAUGCCAUGUUUCUGCCUGUCCUCGUUAUGGCCAGCACUAACUGGCUUUUGCCCCCGAGUAACACAUCAACUACAAGAAACAGAAUGUGUUGCAGCUCAGCUCAGCGGUUGA
rnacentral:lncRNA from 1 species